AUGAGGACUCUGUCCCUGCUCGCCGUCCUCCUCCUAGUCGCCUUCCACCCGCGCAACGCCGCCGACGCCCACGGCCGCCAUUUCGGCAAGGAGAAGCUCACCAACCUGCGCUUCUACCUGCACGACACCCUGAGCGGCCGCGACCCGACGGCCGUCCCCGUGGCACACGGCGCCAGCGCCACGCCCAGGCCCGGCGACCCCACGCCCUUCAGCUCCGUCUACGUCGUCGACGACGUGCUCACCGAGGGGCCCGAGCGGACGUCCAGGGUGGUCGGCAGCGCGCAGGGGCUGUACGCGUCCACGGGCAGGCACGGGUUGGGCCUCGUCCUCGGCAUCGACUUCGCCCUCAACGACUACAACGGCAGCUCCUUCGUGGUCUUCUCGCGAAACCCCGUCGCGGACGGGGACGGCAGGGAGCUCGCCGUCGUCGGCGGCCGCGGCGCGUUCCGGCUGGCCCGCGGCUUCGCGCUGCUCCGCACGCACUACCUCAACACCGGCAACGGGGACGCCAUCAUCGAGUACAACGUCACCCUCCUGCACUACUGA
rnacentral:rRNA from 1 species